GGUGAACGCUGGCGGCGUGCUUAAGACAUGCAAGUCGAACGGCAGUCUUCGGACUGUAGUGGCGCACGGGUGAGUAACGCGUAACUGACCUACCCCAAAGUCGCGGAUAACGAUUCGAAAGAAUCGCUAAUACGUGAUGUGCUGUCAGAUUGUGUUCUGCCAGUAAAGAUUGAUUGCUUUGGGAUGGGGUUGCGUUCCAUCAGCUAGUUGGUGGGGUAAAGGCCCACCAAGGCGACGACGGAUAGCCGGCCUGAGUGGGUGGCCGGCCACAGGGGCACUGAGACACGGGUCCCACUCCUACGGGAGGCAGCAGUUAGGAAUCUUCCACAAUGGGCGAAAGCCUGAUGGAGCGACGCCGCGUGAGGGAUGAAGGUCUUCGGAUCGUAAACCUCUGAAUCAGGGACGAAAGACACUUCGGUGGGAUGACGGUACCUGAGUAAUAGCACCGGCCAACUCCGUGCCAGCCGCCGCCGUAAUAC
rnacentral:rRNA from 1 species